AGAAGAGAGAAGGAAGAGCAAGAGAGAAGGAGGAGAGCUAGGGCAAGGAAUUUCUUGGAGAUUCAAGAGCCAAGAUCCGAGAAUCGUCGAGCUAAGGUUUACAGGUUAUGUAUUUGUUGAUGCACAAGUGUUUGGUGAAGCUCCGCUCUGAGUGUGACACGGUGAAAGGGUUGUAUUUAGGAUAUAGGGUCCUUUAUGACUUAAUGUAUUUAUUUCGGAAAAUGUAUAUUUUAUAAAGAAUGAUUUUAUAGUUAAUGUUUAGGCUAAUUAAUCAAUUAGUUAAGUAUGUUGUUGAUUGUAAUACCUUUAACCAAACGUUUUAUAAUUAAAUUGUGAAUUUUCCGUUGCGUA